rnacentral:rRNA from 1 species
AUGGCACAAUCUAACAAGGAGAAUGAGAAUCCUAUCUGGUUACCUCAAGUUGGUCUGAAAUUCAGAAACUUAGAUAAUGCUUGGUUGUUCUGGGUAAAUUAUGGAGGUCGUGCGGGUUUUGAGGUCAGAAAAAGGUAUAAAAAUAUGAGUAAAUUUGACGGGAAAGCAACAUCAUGUAGAUAUGUGUGUGCCAAGGAGGGUUUUCGAGCACACAACAAGAGGGAUCAUAUCACAAAGAAUCCUCAAGCUCAAACAAGAACAAAUUGUGAAGUUCGGAUGACACUUUCAUUGGAUCGAGUGGCAGGGAAUUAUGAAGUGGUUGAUGUAAUGCUUGUACACAAUCAUGGUCUUUACUUGCCACAAACAUUCCAUUUGAUGUUAUCACAAAGGAAGAUUUCAGAAGUUCAAGCUUUUGAAAUUGCGAUAGCCGAUGAUUCUGGAAUUAGGCCAAAAGCUUCACAUGAGCUAGCUAGUCGUCGAGUUGGAGGACCAAUGAAUCUCACCUACACUCCUCGUGAUCUAAAAAAUCACUUGCAGGGUAGGCGCCAGAGAGAGUUGGCAUAUGGACAGGCAGGAAGCAUGUUGAAGUAUUUUCAAGACAAGAUCGCCGAGAAUCCUUCUUACCAAUAUGCUUUGCAAUUGGAUUGUGAGGAGAAUAUAAGCAAUAUAUUCUGGGCUGAUGCUAAGAUGGUCAUUGAUUAUGCACACUUUGACGAUGUUGUCAUAUUUGAUACUACAUUUGGCACAAACAAAGAAUAUGGACCUUUUGGGAUUUUUGUUGGACUGAAUCAGUUCAGGGAGACCGUUAUUUUUGGUGCUGCUCUUAUGUUUGAUGAAACAUUUGCCUCUUUCCAAUGGCUAUUUAAGGCUUUUCUAGCUGCACACAAUGGAAAACAACCUAGAGCUAUAUUUACUGACCAAGACACUGCAAUGGGAAAUGUUGUCGGGGAGGUAUUCACAGAAGCAUGGCAUGGAUUAUGUACCUUUCACAUAAUGCAAAAUGCUGUGAAGCACUUAUGCAAUAGCAAAGCUGAUGACUCACAUUCUCCAAAAGAUAAAAAUGGGGCAGAUGAAGAAGAAGAAGAAGAAGAACCACACAUUCUCUCAGAUUUUAGUGCUUGCAUGUAUAACAUUGAGGACACGACGGCCUUUGAAGAAGCAUUUUACAUCAUGAGGAAUAAGGUGGACGAAAAGAAGAUGUCAUGGCUGGAUAGCAUCUACAAGUUCAAGGAAAAAUGGGUUGAAUGUUACAUGAGAGAUGUCUUCACAUUGGGUAUGAGAAGCACACAAUUAAGUGAGAGUUUCAAUAGUGACUUGAAAAAACAUUUAAAAUCAGAUUUUGACAUCAUUCGGUUCUUGAAGCAUUUCGAAAGGGCGGUGCAAGGAAAAAGAAACAAGGAACUAGAUGCAGAAUUUGAAGCUAGGAAAAAGUUACCUAGAAUAAGCAUGAAGACACCCAUGCUAUUGCAAGCAAGCAAACUUUACGCACCCACAAUAUUUGAAGCAUUUCAAGCUGAAUAUGAAAGAUCCAUGGCUGCAUGCACUAGAGCAUUGGAUGGAAAUAACACAUAUUCUGUUGCAAUUGUGAGGGCUGAUGGUGAUUUAAGUUCUGAACUAGAGCGCAUUGUUGUUGGUGAUUCUUUGGAGAAAACAUCUUCAUGUAGUUGUGGGCAGUUUCAAAGGACUGGAAUAUUGUGUGGCCAUGCAUUAAAAGUUCUUGACUUGAUGAAUAUCAAGCUGUUGCCAAACCAUUACAUUCUAAAGAGAUGGACAAGGGAAGCAAGAUAUGGAACUAUACAAGACAACAAAGGAAAUAGCAUCAUUGAAAAUCCAAAAAUGGAUGCUAUGCUCCGAUAUAAGUCUUGGUCUCACACAUUCCUAAAUUUGGCAUAUCAAGCCACAAGCUCUCCAGAAUAUUGCAUAUUGGUGGACAACACACUAUAUUGCCUCCAGAAGCAACUUCAAGACAAACUUAGUGCAUCUACAAGUAUUUUGAGUGAUUCAUAUCAUGUCCAACAUGCUGUUCCACAAGAUGAAGGUUUGCUUAGUGCCGCACGCUUAAAGAAAAAGGAGGUUAAAGAAAAAACUUCCAAGAGGCGUGGCAGUUGGCUCGAGAGGAUGCGCAAGUUCAAAAGGAAAAAGCAAACUAAAUCUAGCAAAAAGAAGAAUGGUGGUGGUGGUGUGAAAAGUCAAGUACCAAUGGAUGUCCCUCAUAAAUCUAGCCAACAUGAGAAUGGUGGUAGUGUAGGCUCUCAAGUACCAAUGGGUGUUUCUCAUAAGGACGGCAAUGCCUUCACCAGCUACACAAAUUUGCUAAUGGGUUUUAGUGAAAUUGAUGAUAUGUCCUUUCAAGGUCUUCUUUAG